rnacentral:tRNA from 1 species
UGUAGUGUGACAUAGUGGUUUGAGUGUUGGAUUAUUACUCUGGAGACCAGGGUUCGAUUCCCUGCUUGGCCA